AAGUUUUGAAGAGUCAAGUCUUGUGCUCGAGUCAAGGUUAAUCUCAGCCAGAGAUUCUGAAAUCAAGCUGAGACACAAGCUGCUGGCUAAGAGGCAUGACCCAGGGCAGGAUGUACAUAUAAGGCAUUGGUAUUUAAUGUAGGUCACCAAAAAUAAACACAUAUAAAGUAACAAAAA